UACAGAGGGGGCAAGCGUUGUUCGGAAUUACUGGGCGUAAAGGGCGCGUAGGCGGCCUGUUAAGUCGAACGUGAAAUCCCCGGGCUCAACCCGGGAACUGCGUCCGAUACUGGCAGGCUUGAAUUCGGGAGAGGGAUGCAGAAUUCCAGGUGUAGCGGUGAAAUGCGUAGAUAUCUGGAGGAAUACCGGUGGCGAAGGCGGCAUCCUGGACCGACAUUGACGCUGAACGGCGAAAGCUAGGGGAGCAAACGGG
rnacentral:rRNA from 1 species